AAUUUCUCAAGCUUGGAUGGAUUUUUUCUGUCCUUAGUUUGGUUGUUGGGCUUUGCCGUGUCCCUUCAUUGGAACGGCUGGCCUUAAAAGCAUCAGCUGAUCCUCGUGUGGCACUGGUUCUACUCAGCGUGAUAACAUUCUGAUCGUUGAGGACAUCUUUUGGGAUGGCCGGUCUUCAUUUGGGUUGCUUCUAAACCUGGUUUUUACAGUUUGUUUCAAUCUGUAUUCCACUUUUCAA
rnacentral:misc_RNA from 1 species